AUGAUUAGAGCGCGAUUAAAAUGUGGGAGGGGUCUCUGGAAGUUGAAUGAAAGUGGUUUAGGGUUUCGUUUCUUAUCGCCUGAAGAUCAUCUCAUCCUCGGUAGAAUUUCGAUAGCCAUGGCGAGCACCAAAGUGCAGAGGAUUAUGACCCAACCCAUUAACUUGAUAUUCAGAUUUCUUCAAAGUAAAGCUCGUAUUCAGAUUUGGCUAUUUGAGCAAAAGGACCUUAGGAUCGAAGGCCGAAUUAUUGGAUUUGAUGAGUACAUGAAUUUAGUGCUUGAUGAUGCUGAGGAAGUUAAUGUUAAGAAAAAGAGUAAAAAGGCACUUGGGAGGAUUCUUCUCAAGGGAGACAAUAUUACAUUAAUGAUGAACACGGGAAAAUGAUAAUCAUCCAGCAGAACAACAUUGAGAUAAAGUUUUCACUAUCAUUGUAUAGUGCUAUAGCUUUUACAAUUACCUUCUAUUUGGAGUUGUAUCUUUCAACAUUUUAAGCCAUCAAUGAUUAACUAGUUCUUUGGAUGUGUGAUGUUAUAUUGCUGUUGGUAGGCAAUCCUGAAGUUGGAAAGGGGAAUUGAAGCAGAUAAAAGGCAGACAUCCAUUAGUAGACUUUUGGUAAUAACAGGCACAUCUGAGCACCAGGGUGUGGGAAGAAAGAUUGGACUUACGGAACCAAAGAGAAUUUUGGAGAUUACCCAAGUGAAGGUGGUGGUGGCCGGUGGGACACAUACAUGGGGUCAAGGAAUCACUCCCCUCAAAGUAAUUUAACCAUUGUCUUCUGCUUGCAACUGGGAGUAUGAGAAAAGGCAUGUGUACCCUUGAGUUGGAAAACGAGUGCGCCAUCGCAUUUGUUCUUCUUUUGCAUUUAUUGGUUACUGACUCAUCUUCCACACAUCAUUUCUCUUCCUCUCUCCUCGGUGCAAUUCGCCACUCCAUUCCAUUUGGUGCUUUCUUUGACACAUUCCAUAACCCCUGAUUUCCCUCUCAUGAUCGGAGAAAUGCAUGAUUGUUUCACAGUGCUUGACACAACAUGAAAACAUCACUAUUAUUUUAUUUUGUUUUCUUAUCAAACUACCCAUCUCUUAUUAUUGAA